rnacentral:lncRNA from 1 species
UCUUGUCGUAGGUCUUUCUUCUGGUUUUAAUAAUGAUAAAAUCCAUCGCUGGACGUCAUCCAUAUCUGCUCUUCGUAGUUCUCUUGAAUUUGAAUAUAUCAUUAAUUGAUCUCUCGAGUAAUAACUCCAUAUAGCAUUUCCGUUUAAAUAAUUGUUUGCUAACUCUUGUAUAAUAGUUGAUAUACCAAUUAUUCUUUUGUUGGCAUAAAAACUUGGUAUCUCUAUUUUGCAUAUNNN